ensembl:lncRNA
GUUGGGUUCAUCUUGCAGCACCAGCUGCAGCCCCGUGCGAUGCAUGUUGGGUUCAUCUUGCAGCACCAGCUGCAGCUCCAUGCGAUGCAUGUUGGGUUCAUCUUGCAGCACCAGCUGCAGCCCCAUGCGAUGCAUGUUAGGUUCAUCUUGCAGCCUGCAGCUCUGUGCAAUGCAGCCCGGCCUCCUCCCAGCUGGGAGCUGCUGCUGCUGCUGCUGCUGGUGGGGGAUGCAUGUGCAGCACAGCAGGACGGGCUGCACCUCCUGCUCCUGCUGCUCCUGCUGCUCCUGCUGCACAGCUGCGUCCCACUGCGGCUUCCUGCCCUGCACACACACACACACACACACACACACACACACACACGUGAUGGAGCAGCAGCAGGGGCAGGAAGGCGGCGGUUCCUAUUUCCUCACAUUGUAGGCGAGUUUUUUUUGCUGCUUUGUUGUUAUUUUGGUUUAAUUUCUUUCCUUUCUGAGCCUCGCGAGGCCGACGCGACGCGAUGGAGCAACAGAGCAAACAACGCAGUCAGAACAUCCCAAUGCGUGGGGGUGCAGAGCAAAGGGAGCAGAGCAAACAGCUCCAAGAACAGAGCAAAUAAUGCAAUCAAACUCAUCCCAAUGCAUGGGGGUGCAGAGCAAAGGGAGCAGAGCAAACAGCUCUAACAACAGAGCAAAUAAUGCAAUCAAACUCAUCCCAAUGCGUGGGGGUGCAGAGCAAAGGGAGCAGAGCAAACAAUGCAAAGUCAUUGCAACACAUGGGGGUGCAGAGCAAAAGGAACAGAGCAAACAAUGCAAACUCAUCCCAACAACAAACGGAAGUGCAGAGCAAAACAAACAGCCCUUGCAACCCCAAGAACAGAGCAAACAAUGCAGUUAAAACUCAUCCCAACACGUGGGAGUGCAAAAGGAACAGAUGCAAAUGGGAAUGCAAAAGGAACAAAUGGGAAUGCAAAAGGAACAGCCCUUGCAACUCCAAGAACAGAGCAAACAAUGCAAUCAAACUCAUCCCAAUACGUGGAGUGCAGAGCAAACGGAGCAGAGCAAACAACGCAAAGUCAUUGCAACACAUGGGGGUGCAGAGCAAAAGGGACAGAGCAAACAAUGCAAACUCAUCCCAACAACAAAUGGGAGUGCAGAGCAAAAGGAGCAGCCCUUGCAACUCCAAGAACAGAGCAAACAAUGCAGUUAAAACUCAUCCCAACACGUGGGAGUGCAAAAGGAACAGAGCAAACAACGCAAAGUCAUCCCAACAACAAAUGGGAGGGCAGAGCAAAGGGAGCAGAGCAAACAACGCAAACUCAUUGCAACACAUGGGAGUGCAGAAGGAACAGAUGGGAAUGCAAAAGGAACAGAGCAAACAACUCCAAGAACAAAGCAAACAAUGCAAUCAAACUCAUCCCAACACGUGGAGUGCAGAGCAGAAGGAGCAGAGCAAACAACGCAAAGUCAUUGCAACACAUGGGGGUGCAGAGCAAAAGGAACAGAGCAAACAACUCCAAGAACAGAGCAAAUAAUGCAGUUAAAACACAUCCCAACAAAUGGGAAUGCAGAGCAAAAGGAGCAGAGCAAACAAUGCAAAGUCAUUGCAACACAUGGGGGUGCAGAGCAAAAGGAGCAGAGCAAACAGCUCCAAGAACAGAGCAAAUAAUGCANNCAAACUCAUCCCAACACAUGGGGGUGCAGAGCAAACGGAGCAGAGCAAACAACGCAAAGUCAUUGCAACACAUGGGGGUGCAGAGCAAAGGAAGCAGCCCUUGCAGCUCCAAGAACAGAGCAAACAAUGCAAACAAACUCAUCCCAACAACAAAUGGGAGUGCAGAGCAAAAGGAGCAGCCCUUGCAACUCCAAGAACAGAGCAAAUAA